GAACCGCGAUAAUUUAUGUGAAUUGCAGAAUUGCGUGAUCAUUGAUCUCUUGAAUGCAAAUGGCGGGAGUUCCUUCUGGUUCUCCCGUUGACGAAAGAGCGCGAAUACUCUAUUUCAUCUCCCUUCUGGGGGCUGAUUACAUGGCAUUUGCCUUGAAGGGCGGCAUUUGCUUAAAAGCUACCUUCAGUACUUUAAGUUGGAUUAUUCUGUCUCUAAGUACUCGAUAAUCGUCAUACUUUUACCUUAUUAACCUCUUUCGUCAACGACUACCCACCGAACUUAAGC
rnacentral:misc_RNA from 1 species